rnacentral:lncRNA from 1 species
AUCAAACAAGCCCUGCUGAUAUGAUAAAUAGUUCAAACUUACAUCUAAGCAUGCCAUAUAUUACAUCAAAAGCUAGUGAGGAUACAUCUGUUUCCAUAACUCGGAGAGGGUUCACAUGAUUCAUCGCAUGAUUCACUAUCAAACAAAAGUAGCAAGAUCCGCCCACACAAGACAGUGCACUAGCCCUAAGAUGGUUUGAUAACAUGCAUCAUUUCUGGUAAUUAAACACAGGGCAAUGCAAACUACCCUGAAGGAUUAGCGCGACCAACUAUUUCUUAUCAUCGAUCUCUCGGGCAAUGACCACAACACGGACAACAGCAUGGGAAUCGAUUUUUGGGGCGAUGUCCACAGGACUGACCGCGACAUCGGAAUCGAUCUCUGGGGCGAUGUCCACAGGAUGGACAGCGGUAUCGGAAUCGAUCUCUGGGGCGAUGCCAACAGGACAGGCCACAACAUCGGAAUCAUCAAGGACAACCACCGGCACCUGCACAACACUAACAUAUUAGCAAGCACAUUGCAAAUAAUCAAAAAGCAAGCACAUUGCAAAUAAUCAAAAACCACAACUAUGGUAAUAAUCCAUUAUUUUUUACCUUGUGCAGCUCACCGGGGGAUCUCAUCCCUCCGGGGGCCAUCUCCUCGUCCUCGAUGGGGGCCAUCAUCUUGCCAGGGGAAUACUGCUUCUCAACGACGACUAUCUCCUCAAACUCGGUCUUGAGCCUCACAUAGGUGGCAAUCAGAGCUCCUGGGGUAGGCACAGUGGGGCCCUUGCUGUUCUUCCAACUUUCUUUGAGGAGUUGCCAACGUCCUCAACUCUUUGGCCAGUGCUUGUUUCUUGGAGUUCUUAGUAUCCAUGGGUUGGCCCGCCAACAUGGUCAACUUGUUGGUCGGUGCUCACUUCCUGGAGAUCGCUUUCUCCAGUGGGUUGUCCGCUGGCAACUCUUUGCCUAGUGCUCCAGGAUCCAUCAAUGAACUGACAAACAAAAGGCAAUCGAAAGGAAACCACAAUCGCAAUGAAAACGGGAAAAGAAUAGGAUGUGAGAAUCGGUCGGUGCUUCGCAAAAAGAAGAUUAUUGGAAUGAAAAUAUAGCAGCAUAACUGAUUCGCCCACCUUUCCUUCGUCAGUAGAGAAGAAAAAUGGCAGAAGUGAGUAGCCUGGAGUGAGGUUUUCUUCAAGAAAGGGAAGAAAGGGCUUGAACGAGCGUUCCAAUGAAAUGAUGGUUGCUUCGUCCAGUCCAACUUGGAGGCCACCUUACCACUGCUGGUAAAGGUGUGGGUUUUGUGAUAUGACGGGUCAUGACAGCCGCACCGGGGUGACAGGUGAGUCUCGACUGUAGCACCUCGCUGUGAUUUGGUGGAUGGCACGCGGGCUCGGAUGCUUUGAAAUGUCAUUAACUUGAUUUUAGUCUCUUUGGUAUUUGGAUCCAAGCAUGGAUGAGGCUAACAAGUUUUAGUCCCACUACUUUAGUCAUGAGACUAAAACGUAUCAAAGCACUCUCUCAGGCUGGUCAUAGUGGGGAGUAACUUAGACUAGUGUCAUGCAUAUGACACUAGUGUAAGUUACUACCUCCAUAGUGCAAAGUAACAUAGUAGUAGUAUCAUAUAUUGCUUCAUUUAUUAUCUCACGGACUCAUUUUGCCUCGGAAAGCGCUAUGUUAUAGUAACAUAUUAUGUUACCACAAGCACCUCUUUCCUCAUUAAAUACUUGCCACAUAAGCAGAAUUGUCUUGGGAUGUGUUAAGUUACUACCUAAGUUACUCCCACUAUGGCUAGCCUCAAUAUUGUGCACCGCGACCAAGGCGGAGAGGAAAAUGAGAGAACUACGUAAUUAAUGCAUGAGUUUAAUUAGGGUAGUUUUGUAAAGUACAAGAUACAUUCCUCCAAUCGCAAAAUGCCUUCGUUCAUGAGAUUUGAGAUUUGAGCCCUAUAAACCGGAGGGGAGGGGGUACUGCACACGGUGUAGUCUAGUCACUUAUUUUUUUUGAGUCGAAGUCUAGUCACUUGUUGAAAUCUCUAGAAAGGCAAAUACUCCUUUCUGGUUUACAGGUCUAUACUACUCCCUCCGUCUAGGUGUGUAAGUCAUCUUACGAAAACCAAAUAGUCCCAAAACACUUAGGCGCGGUGCAUUAACUUCUACCUUGUUUCUUGUUUCUUGACAUACGUAUCAACCAAUAAGAGAUGAGAGGUGUGCAUGCUUUUAAUGACUUGCAAUGGCUAGUUCAUUGCAUGGAAUGCUAUUAAUUAGCAAAUAAACAUUGGUGACCCCAGGAGGAAACGGUGCUAAGCACGUGGACCUAUGCAUAAUGAGUAUCAACCAAUGGAUAAUGGAGUUUAAUUGUUAAAUAAUAGCAAUUUUGUCUCAUGCAAGAGCCUGGCUAGUACUCCAAGAAACCGCACCACGCGAGCGUUCGCAACUGCCACGUUCGGUUUGCACUUGGCUCUUCGCCUCUUCGAGAAGACAAACAAUGAUGUUACUCCUACUUAUACAGUAUCGAAUCCACUGCUGCAUGUCUGUCCACCUCGUGCGGGAGGGAUAGCGUGUAGCGAAAGCUUCUACUUGCUGCUCCUACCUUUGCAUCCAUGACAGGUGGGCCCAACAGGUGGUUGGCCCACCUGUCAUGCAGCCAAAUGCAGGUGCAGUUAAGGCACCGGAGCUCAGUCCGCGAGGGAGAGGGCGUCGUAGUAAUCAAAUUUCUCGGGCUUGUACGAGUUGACGCGACACAUCAAAGCACUGCAUUCGAUAAAACUCUUUUUACACAUUUCAAAUGGGCUACUUCGUAUGUAGGAGUAGACAUAUUCUGCUUCGUAUGUACUCCCUCCGUUCCAAAAUAUAAGUCUUUUUAGAGAUUUCACUAUGAACUGGAGUACAUACGAAACAAAAUGAGUGAAUCUACACUCUAAAAUAUGUCUAUAUACAUUGUUUGUAGUGGAAUCCCUAAAAAGACUUACAUUUAGGAAUGGAGGGAGUAGUCACUUGUUGCAAUCUCUAAAAAGACUUAUAUUUGGAAACAGAGGGAGUACAACGCAUGCAUGCAUGCCGUGACUUUCCUUUUGAUACUUGCAUGUGUUGAUUUGAUGCACCUUGCCAAAUUUUGACUAUAAAUUUAACUAACCAAAUUUUCAUGCAUGUCACAAAAAAUCACGGGGCUGUUUGGAUUGUGACUAUGUUUGUCUUAUGUUGCCACAUUAUUUUUCCCACACUUGCCACACUUGCCUAACCUGAGUUGCUCAAAUUGUUAGACACACUUUGGCUUGCCUAAGGGAAUCUUGCCACAAUUUUUGUGUCUAUGACAUGCGGGGUUCACUGCUAAUAAAAAAAUUUCUUGUCUUAGGUGUGGCUAAUAAAAAAGACUUAUAUUUAGGAACGGAGGGAGUAGAAAAUAUAAAUAAUAAUGCAUGUUGGGGCAACCCACGUUUCUGCUAAUUUUAGCCGUGGGCUUGUUCACAAUUUUUAUGAGGGGGUGGUUGUGUUGGGGAACGUAGUAAUUUCAAAAAAUUUCCUACGCACACGCAAGAUCAUGGUGAUGCAUAGCAACGAGAGGGGAGAGUGUUGUCCACGUACCCUCGUAGACCGAAAGCGGAAGCGUUAUGACAACGCGGUUGAUGUAGUCGUACGUCUUCACGAUCCGACCGAUCCAAGUACCGAACGUACGGCACCUCCGAGUUCAGCACACGUUCAGCACGAUGACGAUCCCCGGACUCCGAUCCAGCAGGGUGUCGGGGAUGAGUUCCGUCAGCACGAUGGCGUGGUGACGAUGAUGACGUUCUACCGACGCAGGGCUUCGCCUAAGCACCGCUACGAUAUGAUCGAGGUGGAAUAUGGUGGAGGGGGGGCACCGCACACGGCUAAGGAACGAUCACGAAGAUCAACUUGUGUGUUAUGGGGUGCCCCCUGCCCCCGUAUAUAAAGGAGCAAGGGGGGAGGCCGGCCGGCCCUAGGGGGCGCGCCAAGGAGGGGGGAGUCCUCCUCCUAGUGGGAGUAGGACUCCCCUUUCCUUGUCUAACUAGGAAGGAGGAAGGGGGAAGGAAAGAGAGGGAGAGGGAGAGGGAAAGAGGGGCCACGCCCCUCUCCCCUUGUCCAAUUCGGACUCCCCAUGGGAGGGGGCACGCCACAUCCUGGUCUGCUGCCCUCUCUCUCCCCUCAGGCCCACUAAGGCCCAAUACUUCCCCGGGGGGUUCCGGUAACCCCUCCGGCACUCCGGUUUUCUCCGAAAUCACCCGGAACACUUCCGGUGUCCGAAUAUAGUCGUCCAAUAUAUCAAUCUUUAUGUCUCGACCAUUUCGAGACUCCUCGUCAUGUCCGUGAUCACAUCCGGGACUCCGAACAACCUUCGGUACAUCAAAACUUAUAAACUCAUAAUAAAACUGUCAUCGUAACGUUAAGCGUGCGGACCCUACGGGUUCGAGAACUAUGUAGACAUGACCUAGAACUGUUUCCGGUCAAUAACCAAUAGCGGAACCUGGAUGCUCAUAUUGGCUCCUACAUAUUCUACGAAGAUCUUUAUCGGUCAAACCGCAUAACAACAUACGUUGUUCCCUUUGUCAUCGGUAUGUUACUUGUCCAAGAUUCGAUCGUCGGUAUCUAAUACCUAGUUCAAUCUUGUUACCGGCAAGUCUCUUUACUCGUUACGUAAUACAUCAUUCCGUAACCAACUCAUUGGCCACAUUGCUUGCAAGGCUUAUAGUGAUGUGCAUUACCGAGAGGGCCCAGAGAUACCUCUCCGACAAUCGGAGUGACAAAACCUAAUCUCGAAAUACGCCAACUCAACAUGUACCUUUGGAGACACCUGUAGAGCUCCUUUAUAAUCACCCAGUUAUGUUGUGACGUUUGGUAGCACACAAAGUGUUCCUCCGGUAAAUGGGAGUUGCAUAAUCUCAUAGUUGUAGGAACUUUGUAUAAGUCACGAAGAAAGCAAUAGCAACAUACUAAACGAUCGUGUGCUAAGCUAACCGAAUGGGUCAAGUCAAUCACAUCAUUCUCCUAAUGAUGUGAUUCCGUUAAUAAAAUGACAACUGUUUUGUUCAUGGCUAGGAAACUUAACCAUCUUUGAUUCACGAGCUAGUCAAGUAGAGGCAUACUAGUGACACUAUGUUUGUGUAUGUAUUCACACAUGUAUCAUGUUUCCGGUUAAUACAAUUCUAGCAUGAAUAAUAAACAUUUAUCAUGAAAUAAGGAAAUAAAUAAUAACUUUAUUAUUGCCUCUAGGGCAUAUUUCCUUCAGGUUGUUCAUUUAAUGGAGGGACUUGUAGUUCUACCAGACUUGAACGAUACAAAGUGCGACCUGGCACACCGUAACACCACUUGGAACAAGCGGGUAGCUAUCUCAAAAAACAAUCAAUAACUAAAAAAAACUGCGACCUGGCAUGUAGUAUAGUACACAAUUGUAAACAAUUGUUUUGAUGGAGUGAAAAAGGAAAACUACCCCACUACUUAUAUAUAGGCCGGAGCCUCCGCGCUUGCUUGCUAGGGCUGCUCUAUUUACACACUCUCAUCCUCUCCAGAUCUAUAUAUAGUACACAAUUGUAAACAAUUGUUUUGAUGGAGUGAAAAAGGAAAACUACCCCACUACUUAUAUAUAGGCCGGAGCCUCCGCGCUUGCUUGCUAGGGCUGCUCUAUUCACACACUCUCAUCCUCUCCAGAUCUAAACAAGAUAGGGGUAGUAACCCUGUCUUUCUCCCUUCAAAAAACACUAGUUUUCUAUCCUCACCGCUGGUUACAGAUCCGAACGUAUCCCCCUCCUCCGGUGAAGGGGAGGAGGGGUAGCGUUUAGGCCAUCGUCGACAGCGAGGGAGGAGACCCACUGCAGGCCGCACCGUUAUCUCUGGCCGAGCGCCGGUGCGGGAGGUCCUCCGAUCCCUUCUCGUUGUCUGUGGGCGGAUCCGGCCUCCCGACGCCCACCUAUCCACAUCCUGACGACCUUCAGGUAUAUCUUCAUUCGAAACCGCCUUAGCUCUACUUCCCCAGCUCGCUACGUCGCUGCAUGUGCAUCAUUUUCUACCUCUCAGCCCCUCUCGAUCGGAUGGUCCAACGUCACCUAUUUUUUUUCUUCUAUUGUUAGAGGUAAAGCUACUUCAUGGAGUCGAAUCUUGUACUCCCUCCGUCCGAAAAUACUUGUCAUUGAAAUAAAGUGGGGGUGGGGGAAUUUAGUAUGUACAUCAGACAUGGUACAAACAGGAAGGAAAGGGGAUGAAAGUAGUACAGACUGGUCAUCUAGCCGGUCUCUUGGUCGAGAAGGGAAAUAUAGGGGUAACACUGUACACAGUGGCAUGACCAGGACUAGAUUUUCUAUCCACACAUAGGAGUAGGUUGCUAGAGUGAACAAAAAUGGGACCAACCCAGAUAUGUUUCUUGGAUGUUUGUUUCUCGGGGCAACAAACUAUGAAUCACCACUUUAUGCCCCUGUUUACGUACAUGGUGCUGUACUGCUGGUGCACCCACUGUCCCAUGCCCUUAUACCAAAUAUUUAGGCUCCAGUCGGAAUAAAGGGGCAGAAAACAUAGGUCUUGAUGAAAAUAGAGGAAUAGGAAAGGAAUGUAGGUAUAAAACUAGGGAAGAAUGAACCGGAGGAAACUCUCAAGAGAAUGUGUUCGAAUGGACUACGAAAUGUACAGAUUUGUUUUUUUAGAGUAGCAUGCUUGGCAGUAUGAGAUGCUAUUUGUUUAUUCAGCUGCACAGUGACUACUCUUGUCCUCACCUCACGUACCACACAUAGGUUGAUUUUUUUAUUCCGGCAAACACAGCACAGCAACCUGUCUAACGCAUGGUAGCGAGCGCCUGCCUCGGGCUUCCGCCCAAAAAAUGAGCAGCACGUGGAUGUUUCUAAUCUGAUGGAAUCAGUACUACCAGACCAGCUUUCCUAUGAAACACUAUUCACCUUUCCCGUGUUCCGAACGGUUGGAAGGGAAAGAAUACGGUAGGAAUUGUGUUCCUACAAAAAUCCUGCACCAAACCUGUGAACCGAACGCAGCCUUAGAUGUUCUUAAUAUAAUGUCCGUGGUAAAAAUGAAGCCAUGCCACUGUUUUUGCCUGUAAUUGUUUGAGACUCUGACAAGUUUAGCCAAAUGUUUUUGCCUGUAAUUUUUUUUGACACCUACAACAGUAGGAGAGGCUCCUACUGUAUGUAUUAGAUUAAAGUAUCAAAAAGGUUCUUACAAGGUCAUAACCUUACAUCCAUAGCCAUUGACAAUCUAAGGUAGAAAUGGGAAACCAUAGUAAAUACUGGGUUAUGGUACAACAAAGGAUUGGACAAAAGAGGCAAUAAAUUGUGUGUGCUUCUCUUUGGUUCUAUGUCUGAGUAGAGAGAAGUCCUCUAUGAAUCUUCUUGCCCAAGAGUCGACAGUGGGGUUUAUCCUUCGGAAGUGCUUGUUAUUUCUUUCUUUCCAUAGACUCCAGGAGGCGUAUAGGAAAAUCUCCAUGAACAUUGGGUUGUUCCAUGCUGUCUUUGCAUCAUUGAUCCAAUUGAGACGAUCUCCAUUAGUUGUCCAGUGGAUGUUCAAAGUAUCCCAACAAGUCACACUGAAAUGACAUGUAAAAAUCAUGUGCUCAAUCGUUUCUUCCUCCGUGCUUCCACACAGGAUGCAACCGUGAUUGUCCCCAAUGUUAUAGUGUCUUCUCUUAAGCAUGUUUCUGGUGUUCAAACGAUCAGAUAGCAGGAGCCAACCAAAAACCUUUAUUUUCAUUGUGGCCGAGGAUUUCCAAAGCCAUUUAUAACUAUUGUGUGCAGUGACCUCCCGAAAGUAGAACUUGUAGUACCUUUUUGCCGUGUAAAUAUCAGAGCCCCACUCAUAGAGCCAAGAGUCUAUGCCCUCUUCUGCAUCAUUGCCAAUAUGUGAUGUGAUUUCCUAGAUAUCUCACAAUUCAUUGUGAGCUUGCAUGGAUAGGGGAAGAUGAAAUGUUUUGUUGAGGUUGGUGCAGCCAAGGAAGUCCUGGACCGAAAUAUCUUCAUUUUUGGCAUAAGAGAAUGCACGUGGAUGUGAAUCUGUCAGGACCUCAUCAAACCAGAGAUCUUUCCACAUAAGCGCAGUAUCUCCUCUGCGAACGAUCACAUGUGAGAUGCCUCUAUAGAUAGGAGUAAGUUUGAGCAAAUCUUUCCACCAGAACGAACCACAUGGGUCUGAGGCGUGUGGGAUUUUGUCUGUGUAGUAUGUGGACCAAAUCAAAUCAACCCACGGCAGAUCCCAAUGGUUGUAGAACUUGUGUAGGUAUUUCAUGAGUAAAGCAUCACUUUGAGUUUGUAAGUCAAGCACCCCAAGGCCUCCACAUUCCUUGGGUCUUCAAACCAUCUUCCAUGAAGCUAAAGAGUUGCACUUGUCCCCAUCAUCAGUCUUCUUAGUCCAAAGACAUUGCCUUCUAAUUUUAUCCAGUAGAUCAAUGAUCUUUUGUGGCAGUUUGAGGGUGCAGAGCGCAAAGAUGAUGAGCGAAGUGAUGACCGAGUUGAGAAGCGAAAAUUUCCCUCCAUAGGAGAUCAUUGACAAUGUUGAGGAAAGUCUUCGUUGAACUCCACAGACCAAAGGCAUGAGAUCCUGCACAGAAGGUUUUGUCGUGCCCAUUGGGAACCCAAGAUAGGUAAAAGGUAAUUUUCCCACCACGCAACCAAAAAUUUGGGCAAUAUGUUGAGCAGUUGCAGCAUCACAAUUCAUGGGCACAAGAGUUGACUUGUGGAAGUUGAUCUUUAGUCCAGUAGAAGUGGCAUAAUCGGUGAGUAAGUUUUUGACAAGAGUCGCUUGAUCUGGACACGCCGGUAACAAAAUGAUAGUGUCGUCUGCGUAUUGGAUCACUGGGUAGUCAGAUUGGUUGGGACGGUUGAAGGGCAAGUGAAGAUCAUUUCUUCGAAAGGAGUCAUUAAUUGCAACUUGCAAUAAAUCUGCCGCCAAGACAAAGAUUAAGGGGGACAACGGAUCACCCUGUCGUACGCCACAGACGCAAUUAAAUUGCCUGCCUGGGACGCCAUUAAGUAGAACUGAAGAUUUGGCAAAUGAAAAAAUGGUUUUGGUCCACCCCAACCAUUUGUCAUUGAAGCCCAUGUGCUUCAUGAUAUCCAACAUAGCCUCAUGAUCAAUGGUGUCAAACGCUUUUGCAAAGUCCAGUUUGAGAAUAACUAUUGGAUUUUUAGAAGCUUGGCAUUGGUAUAUGUACUCAAACGCCCAUGCAAGGCAAUCCUGGAUAGACCUCUUUUUCAAGAACCCAUACUGGUUUCAGUGUAUGAUUUUCAGAAUGAUUUUUUGAAGCCGAUUGGCUAAUAGUUUUGUGAUGACUUUGAGACAACAAUUUAACAGAGUAAUCGGUCGGAAGUCAUUAACUCCUUGAGGUGCAGCAACUUUGGGAAUGAGUGUGAUGAAUCCAUCAUUAAUGCUCUCCAGGGUUAGGCCACCCUCGAAGAACUGAUCGCAGAGAGCAUAAAACUCCUCCUUAAUUAUGUGCCAACAUGAUUUGAGGAAUGCUCCGUUGAACCCAUCCGGACCCAGUGCCCUAUCCGCCGACAUUUCUUUGAUGACUAGAUCAAUCUCUUGUCGAGUAAAAGGCACAGUUAGAUCAUCCAAUCUCUCAAUUCUCUUGAUGAUGGAGGGAAGAUUGAAUUUCAUCUCAUGAUUAGAAGAGGUCCCAAGUCUUUAUUUGAAGGAGUGAUAAAUGACCGAUUCCUUGCUUGCAUGAUCAUCAAUUAUGGUUCCAUCAUGUAAAGUUAAAUAGGCAAUAUUGUUUCUUCUGUAUCGUUUAGAAGCCGCUGCUUGGAAAAAUUUAGAAUUGUCAUCACCAAAAUGGACCCACCGUAUUGUGCAACGUUUCUUCCAAUAUUCUUGCUGGUAAGAUAGUAACCGCAACAUUACAUCCAUAAGUCAGUGGAUAGUUUUGGUACUCUGCUUGAAUGGCACAACCCUAGGGCGAUAGGCGACUUGUUCUGCUAAAGGCAAGGGUUAUUCAUCUCCGCUUAGUCCCUAAGAGUAUAAUUAUGAGGCAGAUUGGUGGUGCUCGUAGAUGCUGGACUGUUGCUGUUACUAUGUUGCAUAGUUCUGAUUGGAAUGCUCACUUACCUAAGGUUCCGCCUGCUGGCGAGGAUCCUCCUACUGAGGAUGGUGUCCCUCAUCCGCUCUUUGGUGAGGGCCUGACUGCUGAGCAGAUCUAUCAAGCACAACUUCACAACCGGGUGGCCCAGAAUGUGGCUGCUGAUCAUGCUAUGCACCAGGCAAAUCAGGCUAAUGGAGAUGUGGUAGUUGAUCAACAGGUCCAGUUUCAGGCUGUUUGGGGGGCCUGGCCAGCCCCUCCUCCUACCGCUGUGUACAACUUCCAAGCAUGGUUGGCUGCUGAAGGUUUACAGGUUGCUGAUGGAAUUGUCCCUAAAAAUAAUCUUCUUGACAGUCCUGCAAGGGCUUGGAAUGACUCCAUUUCCUGGAGCAGCAGUUCUGGCUCUUCAGUUAAUUCCGAUGGCCUGGUUCUCGUGCCUGUCAAUAUCCUCAAUAACCUUUGGAGAAAUAAUUUAGUCAGCUCUGCUAGCACUUCCAUGAUUCCUCUGCUGCAGCCGAGAGACAGUCUCAGCAUUGAUCUAUCUCUGAACAACUCUGGUAUGCACCUGUCUUUGUCAGACCAUGGAAAUAUGGUGGCCACAAUGUUUUUUCACUGCUCUAGGCCGGUGAGGCAAAUCAAUGACUACCUCCUUCAGGCUAUCAAACCGAUUAUGGCUACGUUUGGCCCUUGGAGCACAGGGCUGGGCUUCAGGGAUUCUCUGAAGGUUCAUGUUGAGGUUCAUCGCAGCAAUGAUUUAUUUGUGCUUUCUGCUGGGCAUCAGAUCACUAGGAACACUGAGGAAUGCCUCUCUGUGGCUCAUUCUUGGUCUGUCCCUUCUGACGGUUCGGCUAUGCAUCAGGCCAACUCCAUUUCUCUCACUCUGCCACCUUUUGAGGGGCCCCUGCCUGUGAUCGGUGCCUCCUUGCACCGUGGUAAAGUGCAGGCACCAGAAUGUGAGGUCUCUCUCCGCCGCAGUGCUAGAUCGAAUAAAUAUGAUGGAUUUCGGGUGCAUGCUCUGACUGAUACUAAGAAGAAGUUGUCCAAGGUGAAGCCGUGCCACACACCCGCUGCACCCUCCUCAAUGAUCAUCACGGAGCUGGACAGUGCUAACACUCAGGAGAUACCACCUCCCACUCCUAUUCAGGUUAUCCAACAGGUGGACAUCCUCAAAUGCGCAGUCCCGAUGGAAGAACUCACUUAAGCUUCCCUCUUGGAGUCCAACAAGGCGGAUCCUUCGUCUUCGGCCUAAUCUUCGGGUUUAUUUGCCUAAAUAGGUCUUUUGGUUAAUUGGAAUGUGCUCUGUUGGAACAUUCGUGGGCUAAACUCUGGUGAUAAACAAUUAGAUCUCUCUAAUGCUAUCAACGCUAGUGGUUGUUCGGUUUUAUGUUUGCAAGAAACUAAGAAGCCUAUGAUCGAUCAUGCUUUUAUCAAAUCUUGUUGUCCCCGUCGUUUUGAUCAAUUUGCUUUUGUUCCUUCGAAUGGGGCCUCGAGUGGUAUUGCUACCAUUUGGAACAGUUCGGUUUUCACUGGCUCGGUCAUUGCUUCUGAAGAUUUUGCGCUUGUGAUUAAAUUUCAGUCCACUCAAUCAACUCAAUCUUUGACGCUAGUGAACAUUUAUGGCCCAUGUCAAGGAGAAGCUCGAACUAAUUACACUAAUUGGCUUUUCUCAUUAAACAUCCCAGCCAAUGAAGAUUGGCUUCUCCUUGGUGACUUCAAUUAUAUUCGUAGCCCCAACAAUCGUAAGAAGCCGGGUGGGAGCAUUAAUGACAUGAUCACGUUCAAUGAUUUCAUACGAAUGCAAUGUCUUGUUGAACUACCAAUAAAAGGCCACACUUUUACUUGGAGUAAUAUGCAGCAGGAUCCACUUUUGGAGAAACUAGAUUGGUUUUUCACCUCUUGCAAUUGGACGGGUUCUUACCCUAAUACCAUUGUUAAACCCUUGGGUAAGACAGUAUCUGAUCACAUCCAGUGUGUAGUCACUAUUGAAACCUCGAUCCCAAGGAGUAAACUCUUUCGUUCUGAACCUUUUUGGAUACAACAUCCGGGCUUUAUGGACAUUGUGCAGUCAGCUUGGGAUAAGCCAGUACGAUCUACCAAUAGUGCAACUAUUCUUUGCAGAAAAUUCAAGCACUUACGGUACUAUUUGAAAAAGUGGAGUAAGAACAUUUCCCGCCUCUCUAUUGCCAUUGAUAACUCCAACAAAACUCUAGCACACUUGGACAUGAUUGAAAACAGAAGGCAGCUGACCAUUCUUGAGGCAAACUUUAGGAAAAUACUCAAGGUUUUUGCCUGUAAUUGUUUGAGCUCUGGCUGUUUCCUCUGUGCCUUUUUGUGCAAACAGGGAUAUCCAAUUCACCUGGUUGUUGUUGUGACCUUUUGGUGCACUGCACAAAACUCUUCUUAAAAGAAGUGACUUUUGUGUUGUUUAACUGGAAUGUCAGAUGGAACAGUUGGUUCAUUUUGGUGGAACUGCACAAAGGGAGAUCUGUGUUCCAAUCCUCAUCAUCCAUAGUGGCGCCAUAACCUUCCUUUAGGUAAGAAUGAUAUUUAAUGCAUGUGUUCAUCUCUAUUUUCCGUCUGCCAUGAGAAAAUAAUGCUAUUUUUUACUAGUACACUUGUACUCCCUCACUGACAAAAGCAAUUCUGAAUUAGAAGGCCAAUCAUGUACUUGGUUUCACCAACUGGUGAGGAGAAAGAGAAACAUGGCAUGAAGAGGAAGAAGAAGAAGAAUAAACAGUGCCAAGGCGAUCUUGCUGAAGCCAGAGGCCUCAGUCGAGGCUAUUCAAGGGCUCCGGCAACGACUACCUUACAUGUGAGACGAUCCUCCAGGGAGCCCUUCCACUUCUGCUGUCUCACUUAAUUAAUUAGGAGCACUUAAGUACCACUAAUUUAUUACUGCCUAAUUUUCCUGUUGGAGUUAAACAAAUCUUUAGUAGGACCCUAUGCUGAAUCAUGUACGUGUGAAUGUUUGUAUAUGGAGGUGAAUCAUGUGGUGGAGCAGGGAGGGAAUAUUAUUAGUGUCAUGACAUAAUAGUGCUAUUGUUUUGCAUGUCAAUUUAUUGCCAUUGGUUCAAUGAGGCAAUGUUUUGCGUAUUGUCCAUCAUGAAUUUGAUGCUACUGUUUGAGUAAUAUGCUAAUGUCUUCCUAUCCUUUCUCACUGAGCUAAUGAAGGUUUCACCUUGUUCCUACUUGUGCAAUCAGGGAUCAUGUUGUGCCAAUCAUACAUUUUAGUGGAACUACACAAGGCAAUACAAUGAACUGUAUCCCAGCCAGUGCUUUAACUCUGCUGGAAGUUCUUGAUAAUCUUUCGAUAUAAUCUCAGCACUGGUAAACAAGAGUGAUUUCAACCAUACAUUUGAAGUGCACAAAAUAUAUACUAUUGUGUGAUUCCAGUGAGUGCUUUAUCAUCUCUUAUGGGACUACAUGAAUAAGCUUUUUUUCUCAGGUUGGUACGGGCCUAAAGCCUUCAUUCAUAUUAGUUUGCUUUCAUCUCUAUUUGUAUCAUGCUACUGUCAUGAGAAACUCCUUUAUCUUUGCACUUUUAAGUUUUGCAACCUAUGAUAAAUGGCAAUGCUUUGAGUGUUGAGUUGAGCUAAUUGGCACUGAUUAAAUAAACUAAUACCUCUCUUUAAGCAAGACUACUAUGUUGCUAACUUUACCCAUUAAGAUAAUGAGGGUGCUUUUAUUUGUUAUUGUAUGUUUCAUCAACUAGUCCCACUAUUACAGUAAUCUCACUCUCUCAAUAUAUGUGCCAACAGGGAUGCUCGAUUUUGGUGGAACUGCACAAAAAUUUUGGGUGCUUCAUUGCCUCGACAGCUUCCGUCCUUUCCUGUCAGUCGCUAAUCUCCGCUUGCUUUCUUCCUUUGCUGUCAGUCGCUUGGCUUAUCUCGGCUUCCAGUCAAAGGAAAUAGUAAUUGAUAUGCUACCUCACACAGGUUGGUACUGGUCUUUAUCCUGAUUAUUGUGCCUGUCAUAUGUAUUGGUAAUUUGGUAUUGUGCUACUGUUUGCCGAUUUCAUAAAGGAGUAAUUUGGAGCCUGAACUCGCAGGCAAAUCAUUACAUCGGGUGAUUUCAGUAGAACUGCACAAAAUGAUCAGAUGGACAUGUACUUAUGCUGCUGCUAUGUACUCCAAAGUUCACUCAGACAAGCAUCGAUGUUGACAAGAAGUGCCUCGAGUAUCAACCGCGUCAGCCAAUUGUCAAACUCCAAGUAUUAGGAGAGUGAACGCCAAAAAUAUUGCUUGGUGCAUAGCCCAGAAAAAUGCAGUCCAGUCUUUGGUCCCAACUUGUGCCUUUUGGUUAUCGGCACAUAUGAUAGAGAACUAUAUGGCAUGGAGUCUAAAGAUUCCAGACAAGUUGGUUGACGCGUAUAUUCAUCUGGGACUUAAUCAGUUUGCACGCAAGGAUGCUCCAUUUAAGUUGAACUGCACAAAAAAUUUGGGUGGUUCAUUUUCUCAACUGCCUCCUUUCUCGUCUGCAAUGUAGAAUUUUGGCGAUAUACAGGACCAAGAUGAGCCAGUAAACUAGUUGGAUGAAAGUAGUGGCCAAGUUGCUCAAACCUCCGUCGGCACGAGGCCACUAUUUGAGGAUAAACCUACAAGCAAAGUUCAGAUUGUCCGUGCUGCCUCUUAUGUACUCGAAAGUUUACUCGUACAAGAACUAAUUUUAGCAAGAAGUACCUCUGAUUGAACACCAUUUACCAGUCUGUACCCUAGGUAAUUAAAGUUCGUCCAUGGAUCAUAUUGGCUGUGAUCUCAAUCAUUUGGAUGCAUAAACAUACUGAACAUGUGUAUAUCUGAAUCUUUUUGUGAAUUAUGUAUGAAUAUUGUCGUGUGAUCUAUCAAUCAUUUGUACGCAUAGAUAUGCUGAGCUUGUGUAUAUAUGAAUCUUUUGAGUUGUUGAUAGUGAAUGUUGGCUAUGAAUAUGAACGUGUCCUGUGAACCUGAGUUUGAUAUGAAUUGCAACAGAACCAGUUAUAACCCUUCUCCUCCUCUCAAUCUGCGACUCCACUGUCGUGUUUUCCCAUCUCCGAGUCGUUCCCGUCUGGGGCCUCGCCAUCGUCCACUGCCUCGCUGUGUUCAGUGCGGCGUGGUCAACAAACAAGAGUCAUCGGAAGAGGACUGUACGUGGAGAGCCUGACGGCUGGGACCCAUGAGGUCCAUGGUCGCACGCAAGGAAAGUUCCUCCUUAUUAAGCUGAAAAAAAAUGUUUCCUCCACCUGACAGCUGGGACCCACCGGCUGUAUCUUCGCACGGAAAGAAGUGCCUCCUUGUUUUGCGAAAAAAUUAUUCAUCCCGUUGACAGCUGGGACCCGUCAGAUUUGGUGACUGAAUUGUGGGCCUGCUAAGCAGACGUGUACGCACGGCUUUGUCAACUUAAUCAACAAAUGAUUCUAGCAGCUGGACCAUUGGAUGUUAAUCCAACAGCCGUGCUCCUUCUUCAACCUCUAUUCUUGCUCCUGUCUCCUGUGGGCGGCACCGCGGCUAUGCUGCCACACACCUGAACCAGUGAAGUUUCCCACUCCUCUCCAUCUGCGACUCCACUGCCCCGUCUUCCCCAUCUCCGGGUCGUUCCAGUCUGGGUGCGCUCGGCACGGUGUGGUCAACAUGGUCAACAACCGAGGGUCAUCGGAAGAUGACUGUACGUGAGAGGCUGACAGUGGGGACGCACCACGCCCAUGGAUGCAUGCAUGCAACGGAACGCGGCGAGGUCAACGUGGUCAAGGAACGACUUCCAUCGGAAGUAUACUGUACGUGGAGAGUCUCAGCUGGGUCCAUGGCCGCAGCAAGUAAGUGCCUCCUUAUUACGCAGAAAAUAAUGAUUCUUCCAACUGACAGCAGGGACCCACUAGACAGGCCACCGUAUUGUGCAAAAAAAAAAACGUUUGCCCCGUGACUGCUGGGACCCACCUGACGGGCCACCGUAUUUCGUGAAAAAACAUCCCCCACUGUCAGCUCGGACCCAUUGGAAGUGCCUCCUUAUUACGCACAAAAAAAAUGAAUACUCCCCUGCUAGCUGGGACCCACCUUGGUGGGAGGCUGACUUGUGGGCCUACUAAGUUGACGGGGACGAAGGGCUUUGUCAACUUAGUCAAUAUGAACGAUUCUAGCUCCAGUGACCGUACGAUGUCCAUCCAACGGCCGUAGUGCUUCUUCAACCUCUGGUCUUCUUGCUCCAGCCGCCCAAACCAGCGCCGGUCGUGCCUCAUGCUCCUGCCUCCCGUGGCCGGCUGUGCUGCCGCGGAGGACUCACCGCCCCUACUAUUCCCACCGCUGUCCAGGCCCUGCGGCGACGGCAGCCUCACACCGCAGCCGAACCAGUGAACCCUCGUACUCCUCUCUUCGUGGGCGUCCACUGCCACGUCUUCCUGGCUCCAUGUUCUCCCCUUCCUAGGCCUCGCCGUCGUCCACUGCCGUGGUGCUCUCCGCGCGAUGUGGUCAACAUGGUCAAGGAACGACUUCCAUCGGAAGAGUACUGUACGUGGAGAGGCUGGCAGCUGGGUCCACGGCCAUAACCCAGUUUUUUUUGUGAUUUGCCAAGUUAGUCGCUUUGUCAGGCCUGUUGGGCUGCAAAUCUUUCAAGACGAGGAGAGCUUUCAUUCGGCUGGCCGGGAAAAUGGCCCAUCAGUAAUGAGAAAUGCGCUGUACAUUUUAAAACACAUCAAAGCGGCAAUUAGUUUCAAAUAUCUUUUUUUUUCAUUUCAAGAUUUUAAAUUACAUUAAUUUUUAUGCGUGGAGAAUUUGUUGGAUUUUAUAUUGAUAUACAUUUAGUUUUAAAAUCAAUUUGAAUGUAAGUUGAAAUUUUGGGAUUAAAAACAGUUCGGACCACACCGAAAUAUGCAAAAUUUCGUAUAAUUUUUUAACCGUGGCCACAAUAUGGGCUGUAAUGCUUACAAAAAGAAUAUGGGCUCCAAACAAAACCUUAAGAAUUAGCAAAUGGGAUGUAAAUUAUUAGAAAUAAUGGCAGAUGGGCUGUAUGCUGUUUCCCACAGAUUUAAGGCUUUCCUAAAAAAAGGUUGACGCACAAGUAGUGACUGUUGGAUGGCCAUCCAACAGCCGUCGUGCUUCUUCAAUCUCUGCUCUUCCUGCUCCAGCCGCUCAAACAAGCGUCGGCGGGACUGCCUGCUCCCUCCUCCCCGCGGCCGACUGUGCUGCCGCGCAGGCCUCACCGCCCCAUCGUACUCCCGUCGCUGGCCUAGCCAUCCCUCUACUCACCCACACCUGCUGUUAUUCUCCGGCGACGGCAGACGAACUAGCAAACCCUCGUUCAGUCAUACUCCCCUCCGCGUGGGAAACAACUGCUGUGUCUUCCCUGCCUCCGUGUCAUUCCCUUCCUAGGCCUCGCCGUCGUCCACCGCCCUGGUGCUCUCGGUGCGGCCUGUUCAACGUGGUCAACGACCGACAUGCAUCUGAAGUGGACUGUACGUGGAGAGGCUGACAGCUGGGUCCACGGCCGCACGCAAGGAAAUGCCUCCUUAUUACGCGCAAAAUAAUGAUUCCUCCACCUGACAUCGGGGACCCACCGAAAGGGCCUCAGUAUUUCGUGAAAAAACGUUACCGCCGCUGACAGCUCGGACCCACCAGCUAUAUCUUCGCACGCAAGGAAGUGCCUCCUUAUUACGCAGAAAAAAAUGAAUACUCCCCCUGUUAGCUGGGACCCAGUAUAGUGGUAGGCUGACUUGUGGGCCUACUAAGUUGAUGGGGACGGAGGGCUUUGUCAACUUAGUCAAUAUGCACGAUUCUAGCUCCAGUGACCGUACGAUGUCCAUCCAACGGCCGUAGUGCUUCUUCAACCUCUGGUCUUCUUGCUCCAGCCGCCCAAACCAGCGCCGGUCGUGCCUCGUGCUCCUGCCUCCCGUGGCUGGCUGUGAUGCGGCGGAGGCCUCACCGCCCCCUACUACUCCCACCGCUGGCCAGGCCAUCCCUCUACUCACCCACAUCCCCUGUUAUUCUGCGGCGACGGCAGCCUCACACCGCAGUGAACCAGUGAACCCUCGUACUCCUCUACGCGUGGGCAUCCACGACCGCGUCUUCCCCGGCUCCGCGUCGUCCCCUUCCUAGGCCUCGCCGUUGUCCACCGCCUUGGUGCUCUCGGUGCGGCGUGGUCAACGUGGUCAAGGAACGGCUUCCAUCGGACGUGGACUAUACGUGGAGAGGCUGCUGGGUCCACGGCCGCAGCAAGGAAGUGCCUCCUUAUUACGCGCAAAAUAAUUAUUCCUCCACCUGACAGCGGGGACCCACCGGACGGGCCACCAUAUUUCGCAAAAAAAACGUUCCCCACCUGACUACUGGGACCCACCAGCUACACCUUCGCACGCAAGGGAGUGCGUCCGGGCAAAACAAAAACGAUUCGCCCCCCUGAUUGCUGGGACCCACCAGCUACAUCUUUGCACGCAAGGAAGUGCCUGGCAGUCGGGACCCACCUGGUCGAAGCAUACGUAGCGUUGUCAUUCUGGUCGCGAACGUGUACGUACAUACUGGUCGAUGUAGAGGCGCACACGUGUCGUAGAUGUAGAGGUACGCACGUGUCGUAGUAGAGGCGCGCAUGUAGCAUGUACACGUACGUACAUCGGUGAGGGUGCAAGAAAUAAAAUACGGCCACAUACGUACAUACGGGCAGGGUCUCGAACGCCUACUCGCGCAUACGUACGUGGCUGGGUCUGAACGGAGAAACAACGUCGUCGUCAUGUUCAUGGGGAGCCAACCGGCUGCGUCGGAAUGGAAUGCGUGGUCAUGUUCAUCGGGAGGGCUUGGACGGAACAAGUGAUGGAAACGAGGCCUGGCGUACCACACAACGGAGGAAACAGCCUUGUGUUCGACUGGCCACGUUCGAAACGGGGUCCUGUUGAUCGAGAGGGGCCUGGCGUACCGCAAAACGGAGGAAACGGACCUCCUACGGUCGAAACGGGGUCCUGUUGAUCGGGAGGGGUGUGGCGUACCGCAAAACGGACGAAACGGACCUCCUACAGUCGAAAUGGGGGUCCUGUUGAUCGGGAGGGGUGUGGCGUACCGCAAAAUGGACGAAACGGACUUGUGUUGGAGCGCUACGGUCGAAACGGGGGGAGGGGUGUGGCGUACCGCAAAACGGGACUCCACGGGAUACUGUUCAUCUCCACCGUCGACCUCCUCCAGCCUCCACGGGCUACCAUCGACCUCCUCCAGCCUCCACGGGCUCCUGUUCAUCCAGCCUCCACCGCACGCUACUCCACCAGCUACUGUUCAGCCACCCCUCCAUGGGCACCCCUCCACCGUCUACUGUUCAUUCGGCCCUCCACACCACGGGGUCCUGUUCAACCACCCCUCCACGGCCACCCCUCCACCGUCUACUGUUCAUCCAGCCCUCCACACCACGGGUUCCUGUUCAUCCAGAGGCAACGCCACCGCUCAUUGUUCAUCCAACCCCCCGCAACACUCACUGUUCAUCCUAGAGGCAGCAUCGAUCGACUUCAGUUAGCAGCAGUAGCGAAGGAAUCACUCCAUCGGGUUCAGUUAACAGCCAUCGAUUGAUCGCUCGGGUUCAGUAAUGCGUAGCGUGCAGUGCAAUCGAUCGGGUUCAGUUAGAGCCCAACGCCUCGCUCGGCUUCAGUUAGAGCCAACGCCUCGCACACACGCGCGUACGUAAGAGAGAAAUGCACAUCGCUCCGCCCCCGACCUCCCACCGUAACCGGCAACUCCCCGAAAUUUUCCUCCCCCUCGCUUCUACCACGAUUUUUUCCGUCAUGGACGGCCCAAAGAAUGUCAUGCAGCUGCGUCUCCGGCCUGCCCAGGACGAAAAGCCCUUCCGUCAUGAUUUUUUGUCAUAGAAGUAGGAGCCCACCACAUCUAUGAUGAUACCGGGUUUUGUCACAAUUAUCGUCAUAGAAGUGUCAUAUGUAUGACAGAAUUUUUUUCGUUCGGCCCAAAAUGUCACGAAUGUGUCUUUUUUUGUAGUGCUCCUAACUACUCCUGGUCGUCGGCAGCCUCCACAUAGUAGCAUCCAUCGGCGGUGGCAUCUGGCUCCAGGGAUCCACCAUCUGGUUGCAUCAACCGGAAAGAAGAGGGAAGGGGGAAAAGGGGUAGCAAAGCAACCGUGAGUACUCAUCCAAAGUACUCGCAAGCAUAAGAUCUAUACUAAGUAUGCAUUUGUAUCAAAUGGAAGGGUGGUAUAUGUGGACUGAACUGCGGAAAGCUAGAAUAGAGGGGGAAAGCCUAGCCUAUCGAAGACUAGCAUCUUCACGCAGCUCCGAGCAUCUUGCAGCAUGUAGAAGAGUAAAGAAUAGCAGUUUAAUAUUUAGCAAGCAUGUUGUAACAUUAAUGCCCAGAGAUCCUUCCUCGACUCCUUGCGAGAAAGCAAUCUCGGAGCCACAUAUUCAAGUAUCCAUUCGUAGUUGUAUAAGAUCAGGAUAUAAGUCUGAACGUCCGUUACAGUGGACACGGCUAUUAAUAGAUAAUCUUCCCUGCAGGGGUGCACCAUGUUUUCCAACACGCUCGAUCACUCUGGCCGAACACACUUUCCUGGGUCAUGCUCGGCCUCGGAAGAUCAACACGUCGUAGCCCUACCUAGGCUCAGCAGAGAGGUCCCCGCCGGUCUACCUCCUAAGCACUCCGGGGUCUGAGCCCAUCGCCCAUUGCACUCCGGGUCGUUGCGCGCAGGGCAGGUCCAGGCUCCACCACGACAGAAUGGUGCCGGCCCAGCCGUGCCGCACUGCUCAACUGGACGUCUGACAAAGCUUCGGCUGAUACCACGAUGUCGAGGCCCAUAACUAUUCUCACGUGGUGGUUGGUUCAUAAAGGCCAAAGGCCAACUCAGAUCAAAUACCCAAACCAUAGUGUAUUAUUUGCUUGCGGAGACGAGCAGAGACUCAUGAUCGAAAGUGACCCCGUCGCCCCGUCUCGUGGACUUACGACAAGGGCCUAGAAUGCCCGGCCGUGCCAUGUCAUUAUCUUGCGGGUGCUCUCCAGGCCCGCCUGACUUGCGCCAAAGUCUCAAGUAAAGUCAAAGUAACCGUGUGCCCAGACAUCAAGGGGAAAACCAGAGGAAUCACCCCCGGUGAAUUCCACUCAAUGUAAUCAUCAAGGUGAACAUAAGAGGGACCACCCUCGAGGUUCACACUUGAGGUGUUGAACGACAGAGCCGUAUCGGAAAUGGUGAAAGAGGAAAUCACCCUCGAUGACCACAACCGAAUAGCUACACUACAGAAUUAUCAUCAGGAGUGCGUUAUGAGGGAUCACCCUCGGCACUCGAUAGUAACUCUACAGAGUCGAGCAACAAAAGGGGCGUGAUGUGAUGUGAGGUGUCGGGCUCCGAUCGUCGAUCACGUCGAUCGAGGUGUCGAUGAUGAAGCAGGGGCAACAAGGACAAGGUGGGGGCCACUGAUGGAUCACUAACCAACCUAUACUAAGCAGUUUAGGAUAACCAAGUAGGUAAUAAUAAGCAGGUACAAAAGUAGGCUAUGCAUCAAAAUAGGAGCAAACAAUAACAAUAACAAAAUCUAAUGCAAGCAUGAGAGUAUAGAAUGAGCGAUAUCGGGAUGAUCAAAAGGGGGGGCUUGCCUAGUUGCUCAGACAAGAAGGAGGGUCGUCGUCGACGUAGUCGAUCACAGCGGCAUCAACAGCGGUCUCGGGGUCUACCGAAGAGAAGAGGGGGAAGAAACAGUAAAUACACGCAAACAUAUGCACAACAUGAUUAUAAGCGGGUCUAGAGGUGUUCUAACACAGUGCUCGGCGUUACUGGUGAAGGGGGAAACAUCCGGGAAAGUUUUCCUGAUUCCGGACGUCUGUCAGACAGAUGAACCGAAGGGGAAAAGUUCAAUGUUUGCUAUGCUAGGGACGUGUGGCGGCCGAACAGACCAUGUAUUCGGAUCCGUCUCAUCGUUCUGAGCAACUUUCAUAUACAAAACAUUUUCAUCCGAGUUACAGAUUAAUUUAUAUGGUUUUCUAAAGUUUUUAAACAUUUCUGAAAUUGUCUCUAAUUCAAAAAGGACUUAUUGUGCAAGCAUGACGUCAUGCUGAUGUCAUUCAGGUCAAUAGUCAACUCUGACUGAGUUGACUAGUCAAACAGGGCAGUGGGACCUGUUUGUCAAAGGCACAUUUAAAUAAACAUGUUUUAUUAGACUAAUAUGCAAUUAGGUUAAUUAAACAUAAUUAAUUUGCACUAAUUAACAGGAUUAAUUAAUUAAUUAAAUUAUUUUUAUAUUUAUGUACACAUAUUCUUUUUGUUCUUUUUUUAAUAGGGGCGGGCGAAACGGGGCAGAGCCCCCUGGGGUGCGAGAGCCCGCAUGGGCGCACGCCCAGGGUCGUGGCCGCAGCCACAACAGGAGCGGCCGGCGCUGGCCGGCGGGCAGGGCCGACGAGGACGGCCCCCGACACGGUGGAGGAACGGGGCGAGCGGCCACGGGCGGAAGCACGGGUGCGAGUCGCGCGUUUGGCGGCUACAGAGCAGGCAUGGUCCAGCGUUGGCGGAAGGGCGGGUCGGAUGGAGGCUCAUGGGCGGAGUAGUGGUAGGGCGGCAACCACGGCGAUGCGGCGCGAGGACGGCGGCCGAGGCCGCCGAGGGUCGCAGGGGCGAGAGGAGGAGGACUGGGGUUGCUCACCCGCGUUGAAGGGGAGGCCCGAUGCAGGGGGAACACGACGGCGGGAUCGGCGUGGGGGUGAGGACGAGGCGGUGGCGACAAUGACCUCGGGGCGCAGCGGCACGGCGUCAAAUGGC